rnacentral:rRNA from 1 species
UGGGGAAUAUUGCACAAUGGAGGAAACUCUGAUGCAGCGACGCCGCGUGAGUGAAGAAGUAUUUCGGUAUGUAAAAGCUCUAUCAGCAGGGAAGAAAAUGACGGUACCUGACUAAGAAGCACCGGCUAAAUACGUGCC